rnacentral:rRNA from 1 species
GUGAGGAAUAUUGGUCAAUGGCCGAGAGGCUGAACCAGCCAAGUCGCGUGAAGGAAGAAGGAUCUAUGGUUUGUAAACUUCUUUUAUAGGGGAAUAAAGUGGAGGACGUGUCCUUUUUUGUAUGUACCCUAUGAAUAAGCAUCGGCUAACUCCGUGCCAGCAGCCGCGGUAAUACGGAGGAUGCGAGCGUUAUCCGGAUUUAUUGGGUUUAAAGGGUGCGUAGGUGGUGAUUUAAGUCAGCGGUGAAAGUUUGUGGCUCAACCAUAAAAUUGCCGUUGAAACUGGGUUACUUGAGUGUGUUUGAGGUAGGCGGAAUGCGUGGUGUAGCGGUGAAAUGCAUAGAUAUCACGCAGAACUCCGAUUGCGAAGGCAGCUUACUAAACCAUAACUGACACUGAAGCACGAAAGCGUGGGGAUCAAACAGGA